rnacentral:tRNA from 1 species
GGGGAUGUAGCUCAGUGGUAGAGUGCUUACCUUCCAUGUGGGAGGCCCUGGGUUCAACACCUAGUGCCA